GACGUAGGGCGCGAGCGUUGUCCGGAUUUAUUGGGCGUAAAGAGCUCGUAGGCGGCUUGUUGCGUCGACUGUGAAAACCCGCGGCUCAACCGUGUGGUCUGCAGUCGAUACGGGCAGGCUGGAGUUCGGUAGGGGAGACUGGAAUUCCUGGUGUAGCGGUGAAAUGCGUAGAUAUCCGGAGGAACACCGGGUGGCGAAGGCGGCUUCCUGGACCGACACUGACGCUGAGGCGCGAAAGCUAGGGGAGCAAACGGGG
rnacentral:rRNA from 1 species